UACGGGAGCAGCAGUGGGGAAUAUUGCACAAUGGGCGAAAGCCUGAUGCAGCUAUGCCGCGUGUAUGAAGAAGGCCUUAGGGUUGUAAAGUACUUUCAUCGGGGAGGAAAAACAAAACUAAUAAUUUUAUUUCUUGACGUUACCCGAAAAAGAAGCACCGGCUAACUCCGUGCCAGCAGCCGCGGUAAUACGGAGGGUGCUAGCGUUAAUCAGAAUUACUGGGCGUAAAGAGCACGUAGGUGGUUUUUUUAAAGUCAGAUGUGAAAUCCCUGGGCUUAACCUAGGAACUGCAUUUUGAAACUGAAAUACUAGAGUAUCGUAGAGGGAGGUAGAAUUCUAGGUGUAGCGGUGAAAUGCGUAGAUAUCUGGAGGAAUACCUGUGGCGAAAGCGGCCUCCUAAACGAAUACUGACACUGAGGUGCGAAAGCGUGGGGAGCAAACAGGGAUUAGAUACC
rnacentral:rRNA from 1 species